GAUGAAGAGUUCUCAGCUUUCUGCCUUCUCCAUGACUGGCUUACCACGGAGAAAGAAGUGAAGGGUAAGAGCCCACCCCAAUUGUGAGAUGGAAGGCGCCCAAGAGCCGUGAGACAGCGAGCGUUGUUGAUUCCAGGCUAUGCAGAUGCCAUGAAGCUGGGAGUGGAGCAGAUGUCACCAUCAGUGAGAUAAGUGUCUGGUUUCGUGAGGACUCUGGUAACGGCCCACCUGCUUCUAGGCCAGGACUUGUCGUUAGCUGGGGCUGAGUUUGUAGGAAAAGGUUCCUGAAUAGCUGUAGUUACGAGGGAGACAAGGUCCCCAUUUUCAGGGGCUGGUCAUUUCUCUGUCCACAAGCAGUGUGUUCUCUGCAGCAGAAGGUUGGAUCCAGGGGGAUGACUCCAGCUGGUGUGUUUCUUGACUUCCUCCCACAUUUUUCUCUCUGUCUCUCUCUCCUCUAAUGUGUUGGCCAACACACUCUCUGUCUAUCUGUCUCUCUCUGUCCCUGCCUCUCCUUGUCCUGUCUCCUUUCGUAGGACAUGGGCAGGUGUGGUAGCUGUGUGUCCCCACAGGCUAGGUCUUGGGAGCGAUGAACAAGUAGGAGGGGACCAAAAUGAUGCAGGGCAGUAGGUGCUAGAGUGCAGCGGUGACUGUGGGUGUUGACGGAGUUUCUGCUCUAGUGGGGCUGAUGUGGAUGGCGUGGGACAGGGAGGUAGGGAUGAGGGCAAGAUUUCAUGCACCAGUUGAAUUUUGUGUAGUGAUGGCUUUUUCUUGGGUUACGUCCUGCGUUUGCAGAGGAAUCCUCCAAGAGCAGCAGCCGGAGGAGAAAUUGGUGGAAGUGGACCUCAGCCGCCUGGAAAUCCUUCUAAGCAGACAUGAACAGUCUUCAGCUUUCUGCCUCCCACGUAACUGCCUGUGAAUAAGAGUACCAAGGGAAAAGAAGUCACGUGUCACUGUCUACUGCCUUCAUGUCAUGGAAAGCGAGCGAGAGCGAUGGGACCUCAGGAACUACUGAUGCCAAGGAAAAGCUGUUCUACUGGGAGUGGAACAGUCACCACUCUCAAUGAGAUAAGUGUCUGUUUUGGUGAUUGCUCUGCUCCCGGCCCACCUUGCUCCUGGUAGGGACGCUCCAUUUGCUGGGGCUGUGUUUGUAAGAAAGUGUUUUUGACUAGCUGUGUUUAUGAGGGAGACAAGGUCCCCAUUUUCAGGGGCUGCUCAGUUCUCUGGCCAGUAGCAGUGUGUCCUCU